rnacentral:rRNA from 1 species
UACGAAGGGUGCAAGCGUUAAUCGGAAUUACUGGGCGUAAAGCGUGCGUAGGCGGUUGCUUAAGUCAGAUGUGAAAGCCCUGGGCUCAACCUGGGAAUGGCAUUUGAAACUGGGCAGCUAGAGUGUGAUAGAGGAUGGCGGAAUUCCCGGUGUAGCGGUGAAAUGCGUAGAGAUCGGGAGGAACAUCCGUGGCGAAGGCGGCCAUCUGGAUCAACACUGACGCUGAGGCACGGAAAGCUAGGGGAGCAAACAGG